GGAGAGUUGUCCGAGUUGGCCGAAGGAGCACGCCUGGAAAGUGUGUAGGCGUCACAAACGUCUCGAGGGUUCGAAUCCCUCACUCUCCG
rnacentral:tRNA from 1 species